rnacentral:misc_RNA from 1 species
GUAGGUGAACCUGCGGAAGGAUCAUUAUUGAAUGAACUUGACUUGGUUGCUGCUGGCCUUUUCGGAGGCAUGUGCACGCCUUGUCAUCUUUAUAUCUCCACCUGUGCACCUUUUGUAGACCUGGUAUCAAUUUUCCGAGGCAACUCGGUCGUGAGGAAUUGCUUUAAUCGGCUUUCCUUGUAAGAUUCCAGGCCUAUGUUUUCAUAUACACCAUAAGAAUGUAACAGAAUGUCAUUAUUAGACUUUAUUGUCUUAUAAACUAUAUACAACUUUCAGCAACGGAUCUCUUGGCUCUC